rnacentral:rRNA from 1 species
UACGGGGGGGGCUAGCGUUGUUCGGAAUUACUGGGCGUAAAGGGCGCGUAGGCGGUCUGCUAAGUUGGAUGUGAAACUCUGGGCUUAACCCAGAGCCUGCAUUCAAUACUGACAGGCUAGAGUUCUGGAGGGGAUAGCGGAAUUCCUGGUGUAGCGGUGAAAUGCGUAGAUAUCAGGAGGAACACCGGUGGCGAAGGCGGCUAUCUGGACAGAGUC